rnacentral:rRNA from 1 species
AGUCGAACGAGCACGAUUUCCUUCGGGAUGAUGUGCUGAGUGGCGGACGGGUGAGUAACGCGUGGGUACCUGCCUUGUACAGGGGGAUAACAGUUGGAAACGGCUGCUAAUACCGCAUAAGAUCGCAUGAUAAAAACUCCGGUGGUAUAAGAUGGACCCGCGUUGGAUUAGCUAGUUGGUGAGGUAACGGCCCACCAAGGCGACGAUCCAUAGCCGACCUGAGAGGGUGACCGGCCACAUUGGGACUGAGACACGGCCCAAACUCCUACGGGAGGCAGCAGUGGGGAAUAUUGCACAAUGGGCGAAAGCCUGAUGCAGCGACGCCGCGUGAGCGAAGAAGUAUUUCGGUAUGUAAAGCUCUAUCAGCAGGGAAGAUAAUGACGGUACCUGACUAAGAAGCACCGGCUAAAUACGUGCCAGCAGCCGCGGUAAUACGUAUGGUGCAAGCGUUAUCCGGAUUUACUGGGUGUAAAGGGAGCGC